AUGAGGGUAGUAGAAGGUAAUACAUUGGAUUUAGGUUCCAGGAGUGGAAGGUUUCCCCCUCCCCCCUAUA
rnacentral:tRNA from 1 species